rnacentral:rRNA from 1 species
GGACUACCCGGGUUUCUAAUCCUGUUUGCUCCCCACGCUUUCGCGUCUCAGCGUCAGUAACGUCCCAGUGAGCUGCCUUCGCCAUUGGUGUUCCUCCUGAUAUCUGCGCAUUUCACCGCUACACCAGGAAUUCCACUCACCUCUUCCGUACUCUAGCUCGACAGUUUCCACCGGCAUUUCAGGGUUGAGCCCUGAACUUUCACAGCAGACUUAUCGAGCCGCCUACACGCGCUUUACGCCCAAUGAUUCCGGACAACGCUUGCCCCCUACGUAUUACCGCGGCUGCUGGCAC